ACUCCUACGGGAGGCAGCAGUGGGGAAUAUUGGACAAUGGGGGCAACCCUGAUCCAGCCAUACCGCGUGUGUGAAGAAGGCCUUAGGGUUGUAAAGCACUUUCAGUGGGGAGGAAAAGUUGUCGGCGAAUACCCGGCGACCGUGACGCUACCUGCAGAAGAAGCACCGGCUAACUACGUGCCAGCAGCCGCGGUAAUACGUAGGGUGCGAGCGUUAAUCGGAAUUACUGGGCGUAAGGCGUGCGCAGGCGGCGACAUAAGACAGAUGUGAAAUCCCCGGGCUCAACCUGGGAACUGCGUUUGUGACUGUGUUGCUAGAGUGUAGCAGAGGGGGGUGGAAUUCCACGUGUAGCAGUGAAAUGCGUAGAGAUGUGGAGGAACACCGAUGGCGAAGGCAGCCCCCUGGGUUAACACUGACGCUCAUGCACGAAAGCGUGGGGAGCAAACAGGAUUAGAUACCCUGGUAGUCCACGCCCUAAACGAUGCCAACUAGGUGUUGGGGAAGGAGACUUCCUUAGUACCGUAGCUAACGCGUGAAGUUGGCCGCCUGGGGAGUACGGUCGCAAGAUUAAAACUCAAAGGGAAUUGACGGGG
rnacentral:rRNA from 1 species